rnacentral:rRNA from 1 species
GGGGUGGGGCUGCCUUACCAUGCAGUCGAACGGUAACAGGGAGCUUGCUCCGCUGACGAGUGGCGAACGGGUGAGUAAUACAUCGGAACGUGCCCAGUAAUGGGGGAUAGCUCGGCGAAAGCCGGAUUAAUACCGCAUACGCCCUGAGGGGGAAAGUGGGGGACCGCAAGGCCUCACGUUAUUGGAGCGGCCGAUGGCUGAUUAGCUAGUUGGUAGGGUAAAGGCCUACCAAGGCGACGAUCAGUAGCUGGUCUGAGAGGACGAUCAGCCACACUGGGACUGAGACACGGCCCAGACUCCUACGGGAGGCAGCAGUGGGGAAUUUUGGACAAUGGGGGAAACCCUGAUCCAGCAAUGCCGCGUGUGCGAAGAAGGCCUUCGGGUUGUAAAGCACUUUUGUCAGGGAAGAAAUCCUUUGGGCUAAUACCCUAGGGGGAUGACGGUACCUGAAGAAUAAGCACCGGCUAACUACGUGCCAGCAGCCGCGGUAAUACGUAGGGUGCAAGCGUUAAUCGGAAUUACUGGGCGUAAAGCGUGCGCAGGCGGUUGUGUAAGACAGGUGUGAAAUCCCCGGGCUUAACCUGGGAAUUGCAUUUGUGACUGCACGACU